GGUCCUCCCGCUGCCCGUCUCUCUCCACUGCCCGCCUCUCGCCACUGCCUCCCGUCUUCUCUCCCUCACGGCAGCCUCCGUCUCUUUUCUCCCUCUCUCCUUUGAAAACUGAUCUUUGGCUCUUAGUGUGAAAGUGAUUUGAAUUUGGCUCGGCGGCGCUCUGCGCCUGCGCCCAGCCUCUGGCAUGCUGGCUCCUUCCAAGCAGCUGUUUUGGGUUUGAAAUUCCAACAUGGCAGAGGCUGCAGUCCGUCUUCCCUUCAAAAACUUGGAAUGAUUUCAAAUCAUAGGCACCUUCACUUAACCCUAGCUUCCAUUCAUCAGCAAACACAUCGGAUCGAUGCUACGCUAAGCUAUCGGGUUUUCGCUCCGCGAGUUCAGGUUAAAUGAAUACCUGACGAAAGGGCCCACGUUUCAAGGCAGUGACAUUUGAUAGCUGAGAGGAAAAGUGACUUUAAUGAAAAGCAACCUUUGGAAUUCCUGCUUGUGAGAAAUCCAAUUCAGCUUUUUGUGCUGCCAGCAAGAAAUGAUCAGUAGCACCAGUGUUUAUGAUACGAUGGAAUGUCCAGCAAGCAAUGGAUCUGAGUGCACUUGAAGUUGCACCAUUUAUUUUCAAAAGAUAUUUCCCACAUCAGAUGCCUCUGCCAGGAAGAAAAAUAUCAAAGAGCUCAGAAAAUUUGAAGUCAUAAAAAUAGAUCUACUUAGAAUGAAUGAACUGAUUCAUACUAGAGGUAGUUCACUGUCUGACUAAAGUUCAGCAACAGUCUAUGAAGAAUCAUAAGAACAUUGUAAGAGUACCUCUGAAAGGUGAAAAUGAUGACAUCAGCAGAUAACCUACAGCCUAUUGUACCUUGGGUAAGUCCUUCAACCUCUCUGAGUCUCAGUUACUGAUGAUAUAAAAGGGAAGUUGAUCCAGUGACUCAAGAUUUUUUUCCAGUUCCAUUUAAUCCACGAUGCUUGGUCAUCGACUAGUAAGUUUGAGUCACUUAAAUCUUAUUGGUGGCCCACCAGCAGCAGAAUGAAAAGAUUUUUUGUUUCUGUUUAAGGAACUCUAGAUAUUGCCUUGGAAAUAAUGAAGGAAGUUCAAGGACCAUUUAUCACUUUGUUAAGCCCUUUAGGAGGGAUGGAAACCAUUCAUUAAAUAUGCUUACUAAUUGGUUACAAGCAAAUGUGUCAGCAAUUCUAAGUUGAUGAGUGUUAGUUAGCCAGUGCUUUUUUCCUGUAAGAUAUAUAAAUAGACUAACAAGAAGAUUAACUUAAGCACCAAUGAAGUGAGGGGAUUCAAAUCCCUUAAAAAAUAUGUCAAAAUUAUAGAUCUGUAUGAAAGUUGAAUGUUUAUCAAACUGGAAGCAACUCCAUCUUUUCUCUAUUUAUCCCUAACUAAUCUUUGUUUAUCUUCUUUUUACUCCCUGGAAUGUUCUUCUCCUCCACCAGUUGAAAACCUACCAGGACUUUGACAUCUAGCUCAAAUGUUGCGUCACCUAUGAAAACUUCUUGAGCCACCCUACUCAGGAUCCAUUUGACAUCUGCUUUAGAUGCUCUAAGCACUUAAAAAAAAAAAAUCUCCUUUCAGUCAUUUGCCAUGUUUCUUCCUCUGUAGCUUGCUGUGCAUUUGUAUUUCUUGAUUAUGAAACUGUAAACUCCUUGAGAGCAGAACACAUCUAAUUCAUUUUUUCAUCUCCUCAACAUGUGUGUACAGUGCAGGACCUAUAAUAGAUGCUCAAUAAAUGUUUGGUGAAGUGAAUCGAUAAAAGCUGUCACUUGGUUCAUCUUUUCUUAAUCUUGAAAAAAUUGGAAGAGGCUUUUUAAAGUACUUAAAAACAGAUCUAUUAAAAUUGUGUAUUUCAUUAAAACUGAAAUUUCUAUAUUCUUUAAUCACGAAAGACUUUAUAAUCUUAUAAUUCUGAAAAAUAGUUGUAUAAUUAUAUACCCAAAAAAGAGCUUAUAGUCAUUUGUUCUGUUUUCAUAUCUCUGGAUACGAGAGCGUUAAAGCUAUUUUAUAAAAGCAGAACAUUAUAAUGAUAUGUAAUAAAAAUCUGCAACCAAUUUCAAUUAUAGGCAGUAGCACAUGACUUCCAAUCACAUAUGCUUUUCAGAUAUGCUUUACCUAUUUAAAUAUUUUUGCUUUCGUGUUUGUAGUCAGAAAAAUUUGAGGGUAUCGAAUCAUAAAAUAUUAGGCACGGGGACUUCCAAAUCAACUUCUUGCCAACAUAGGGUUGAUUGGCACUUGGUUAUUCAGCCUUUGGUUGAACAUGGGAAAUCAGCACCUCCUAAGGCCUUUCUUUCUAUUUUGUCCUUUCUCAGAUAAAUAGGCAUUGUACAAAUAUGUGCCUGGCAGUACUCAAAACAGAUUUCCUUGGUAACAUGAUGGUAUUUAGGGUGCUAAGAUAUGAGAUGCAAACUAGCUGAUUUACAAUUAAUAUGAUAACUUUCAUUGAUGCUGUAGUUUGUAAAUGCCUUUGAUUAACACUUUAAUUGACAUACUUUUGUUUCAUAUUUAGUGUUGGAUGCUAGUCAUUUAUUUUGUACUAAAUACUGGGCUGCAGACAAUUUAGCUGGAGUUACCCCAGUGACCCUGUCUUCUAGUGGUUCAAAUGUAUUACCGCUCAGUUUGUGUAUUUGUGGAAGGGUCAGUUUAUUUCUUAAACCUGUCACUAAUGUUACAACAUAUAGCAUUACAAAAUUUUCUAAGGGAAAUCCAAUUUGAGCAAAUGUUGAAAUUGUAAUGUGUUAGUCAACAGUAUUUUACAAAGUCUCUCUUUUAUAUUUGUGUAUUUGAACCUAAAGAUAGAUGUACCAGAGAAAAGUACCUGUUCACAUUGCUGCAUGAAAGAACUCAGAAAAAACAAAGGCUCUAUUGUCAUACUUCUAAAAACACAGUUUUACUAAGGAAACCUAUAACCUUUAGUGAAAGCUCACUGGUUUUCUUCUAAUAUGGACUCUUCAAAUCUGAAAAGUUCUAGAUGCUAUCUUACCACUUAAUAUUGAAAUCUAGGUUGAUCUCAUAUACUCCAUGUAAGAGAAAAUAUCUCCAGUGCUGAUUGUUAAACCUGAAUUAUUACAAAGAUACACUGUUACGUGAGCCACAGGGAACAAAUGUUGUUUAGUCAAUUCCAUGAAAACAACUGCACCUUCAACAAAGAGCUUCAAUAGUAAAGAAGUGUAGUACAUUAGAAGUAGAAUAAUAAAGAUUGUGAAACAGUAGGUGAAAAGUAGCAAGAGUGUUUUUGCAGUUUGACUGCAAUAAUCUCUUUAGUUCUUUUAGUUAAAUUAGCUUUUCUGGAAACCAGUAAUCUCCAAGCAAGUUAAAAUUGCUUAACUAUAAAUUGAAAUCCAUAAGGUUGAGAGGAACGACUAUGAAUUAUAAAACCUUUAUGAUGGUGGCUUGCCAACAACCAAACUAAAUCAAGGGAGGAUUUAAAAGACAUAGGCUUAAAAUUCUGCCUGAUUAAAAUCAGGAAGUUGGGGGAUUUUAAACUAAAUAAGAAAUACCCAUGCAGAUUCUUCACAUCUAAAAUGUCAGCCAUGUUUCCGUAGUCUUCUCAUAGGAAAAAAAAGGGUGAUUCCCCAGAGAGGGUAGUAAUGUAUGUUGAUGGUCACUAAAUAUGAGCCGUGGUUAAAAGUCACGGUCAAUAGUUUCUUUUGUUGCUAUUCAUUUUUUUUUUCCUUGCCCUCAUAAGCAUAACUGCCAGCUGUUAAUCAUUGAAUUUUUUGUUAGAUCUACACAUGGCAAUUCUUGAAGAAUGUGAAGCUGUAAUUGUCCUUUUGGCUUAAAAUCGGAAAUAAAAUUAUUUCAGGUGAAUACAGCUCUGUGCUUGUAUAUGUAUGAGUAUUCGGAAGAGAAACCUAUGAAAGAGUUGACAGCAUUGAUAGCUCUUUCAUUCUGAAUGGGCCAGUUAGUAGCGCCAUACAGAUACCAUCUAAGUGAGCCAAUUUAAAUCUCUCCAAAUUCUUAACUAAGUGGCCCAGGUCUAUCUGAGAGGUGGUAGUUAUUUGUCCCUUAGGUGAUCCAUUCUGGCAUGAUAUUCAGUAAACAAGAUUUAUGAGGAAUUAAUUAAAACUGAAUUAGUUAAAAUUGAAAUUGGAUAUUAAAGUAUAUAGUUCCCCCUAAAUUGACUUGGAUACAUUUGUCAGACAUGCAUGAAAAGAAUUUUUAAAAUAGAUUCUUUGCAUUAGAAUAAAGCCUAGUCACAGAUGAGCCAGUUAAAAUUUGCUCGCCUGAUAGGAUUGUUUUCCUUGAAUGACUGGCCACACCUUCUUUUAGCACUCCCCUCUUUGUCCAGGGUUUAGUCUCAUCAUGCACAUGUCCUUGAAGAAAUGUAGCAUCUUUCACAAGAUUUUGUACAAGUGAAAUCAGAUACCAGUUUUUAUUGCAGAGCUGAGCCUACAAAUGUUUCUCUUUAAAGACGUUUUUAAUAGAAACAGUAAGGUAUAAAUCAUUUAAGCAAUUACCUGGACAUUGUGGAGAUGGGGCUUGGCUUGUUCUGUAGCCCCAGAUGUUUCCAGAUUCCAGUAAUAACUCGGCCCAGAUAUUUACAGCUUAAUUUUCUGUGCAUGUGCACUUGUCCACAAAUGGCUCCUACUUCCCAUUUUCUGUUGGACAACUGGGCCACUUAGAGGUACAGAAAGUGAUUUCAGCGUGGGUGGUGACAAACAUUAAUGGUUAUAAUAAGUUGCUUCUGGAAACUUUGAUCACUUAAAAAAAUAAGCUAAUUCUUAGAGGAUUUUAUACUAAGAAAUAAAUUAUUAAAUGGCAUUUUCCUUUACAGAUGGAGGUGGGGGGAAUAACGUCUCCCCAUCCCUCAGAAUUAUAUUCAGCCUUGAUCUACUGUGUGAUAAAAGUAAUUUUUUUUUUUAAUGUGUCUUCUGGCACUGGUUGAGUUAUCAUGCAGGCUGCUAGUUUUCUUUGCAUUACUACUCCACAGUUUCUCUUGUUCUUACUAGAAACUAAACAAAUGGAAAAUAAUGAUUGGUAACCAUCUGCUGUGCAGAAACUUCACAUAGAGCAGUUAACUCUAUUUUAUAAAACAAGACCAAAUGAGUGAAUUAUACUGUUGCCAGUAAAUAGCAACAUGAAGUAGAGCGUUCCUUUGGACAAAGCAGGAGCAUAGGGAGCCAGCAUUUAUUAUGGGAAGUCAGUUGGGUGGGCUGUGGGGUUGAAUGUGGUCCAGGCAUUUAUAUGUGUGUGGGUGUGUGUGUGUGUGUGUACUGCACUGUGUGAAGAGAAUGGUGGUUUCCUCUCUACCUGUACCUCGUGUCUCCAUUCUUGCCCUCAUAAUUCCAAUCAAGUGAAUCAAAGCAAUGCAUAUGCAUAUAAAUCAGUUCAGUCACAUCGUCCUACAUCUUUUUGUUUGCUUAAAAAAGUCAGAAUCCGUAAAGCCAUAGAGAAUAAAGAUUUAUAAAAGUAUGUAGGCUUCAGAUCGGAAUCGUGUUUUUUUCCUCACCUAUACAUAUUAUAAUGACUAGAGGCUAGCCAGUUGGGCUUUAAAUCAUUCUCUGGUCUUAUCCUUUGCCUAAAGAAUACUGGGAAUCAGAUUGAGUAUAUGUCCAAAAGAUAUUGACAGGCAAUGAUUAUUCAUAUAGUUGCUGUUGAAGUAUGCAUGCUAUAUUGAGGGAGGACAUGUAAUGGAGUAGACAGAAGCAAGUGGUUACAAAGAAUUUAUUCAAAUGGACCAGGUAAUACUUGAUUUUAUAGGUGUCCAUAUAAUCAAUCAGUCUCUUUCUCUCUCCCUUUCUCCAUCUAUAAAACCUGUUUAUCAAUGUACUUAGACAUUCAAAACAUACAUAUUCUCUCUACCUUUCACUUACUCGAUACUGGGGUUUUGCCAUACAGCAAGAAAAGUUGUUUAAAAUGGGCAGUAUAUUGAGUUCAAAGGACCCAUACAGUUCAUAAAUUCUCUGGUGUCUACUGGAUUUUUCAUCAGGGAGACUUCCAAUAAAAAUGAUCUAUUUUAGAAAUAAUAUUGUUUAGUAGGUUGAAAUGUGGUGUAAUAAAAUUAGACCUUCAGUCUUCUAAAGUUACUACUUAGAUGGCACCCUUGGGAUGGUAAAAUGGCUGUAUAAGCAGAUGAAUCAGACAGCUCCACUGAUGGGUACAUUUGUCAGUCUCUGUUACAGAUAUAAUAUAUUCUUAUAUCUGUAAUCCUGACACUGUUACAUCCAAAUGAAAUCAACAUGAGGUUGUCAUCUUUAAGCAAAUAUGUUAAGUGUUGUCUUUUGUGCUUUGGAUUUGAAAGAAAGGGGCCCAGGGGAGGCCGCAUCAUGCAAAUGGAACAAAUCCCAUUUCUUCUGAGCUGUGCUGUUUUCCCCUCCAUGGCAGCUGGCUGUGUUAUCUUUGUGUGUUUCUCUGAGUGCUGACAAUUCUUUCAGUGAUCUAAGUUAGGGCACAUUAGAAAGUGGAAGCAGCUGUCUGUCGCUAUACUGAGAGACGUGUUUGCUCUACUGCAAAGAUGAAGGACCAUGAAUCCUUGACACACUCCCCCCUCUCCCCCCUGUACUUUCCAACAUGAUCAACAUUCAGACGCACAGAUUGUCUGCUUGGACAGUUUUUUGUUCUGACUGACAGCAUCUGGCAUAGACAAAUUUAAAAAUACAUAGCAUGCCAUGCUUGGAAUUGGAACAUCCCUUCUUUAUUAAUCUUCUCAUUUAAACCAUUCAUUUACAUUUCAAGAAAGGUUACAGCUUGAUAUGGUUGAAACGUUGAUUUUUAAAUGAAUAACCUUCUAAUGAAAUGUCUUGAAUGAGUACCAAGCAGCUAGUGUUCAUUAAAAAUUACACCCGAUUAACACGGCCUUGAGAGCCUGAGAGGAAAGGGAUUUCUUAUUGUUUUAAUCCACAGUGCAAUCCAGUGUUUACCUUUCUGGCACAAAGCGAAUAGAAAUGAUGCCUGUACUUGCAACACUUGUGAUAUUGAACACAACUAUGAUAUCACCCUUAAGCCGACAAAACACUUGGCCUUGUUUAAUCAGCUUUCUUUCCCUUGGAAAACCCCUAGAGUGUUAAAAAAAAAAAAACCACCAAAAUAUGCCUCGUUCAGAUCCUCUCUGUCUCCACAUCCCACCUUCUCCCCAGCCCAAAAUACUAUGUCUCUAUGCCCAAAUCAGAAAAAAAAAAAAAAAAAAGACCGGUAUGUUUUCAGAUGGAAAAGUGGUAGAAAAAUGCCUUUAGAUUAAACAUUCCCCCUGACCCCAGGAUGGUGGAUAUACAUUUGUUUGUCUGCAUGACUUUAGUAAUAGGAAAAAAAAGUGCAAAAAUCACUCAAUUUCUCUGCCUCUUGUCAACCCCUCCAACACACUCAACAUUUCUUACCUAUUUUCAAUUCCACAGUCAACCUUAGCAACAUGCUUGUCUAGCAUUUAUGUAAAAAUAAUAUGAAAAUUGACCAUAUCAGUCAGUCUGUAGGCUUUGAGUCCAGAGGUGGGGGUGGGAUGGGGGAAGGAAGGAAUCCUCCUUUCAUCCUACAUUCUAGACUUCUCAUAUCACUGCAGAUUUCAGCUAUCAGUACUCAACUGCCAGUGUGGCUGAAACAGUUCUAAGGGGUGUAUGGAGGGAGGGCUGGUGCAGAAUUAUUAUUUUCUGUUUUUAAAAAAACUGCUCAAGUGCUAGGUAGUAAAUAUGUAAAGCAAGCAUGCUGGUUAACUUGGGAGAAUAGGCUUCAGAGAGAAGUUCAAUUAACAAUUGUAGGCAGAAGAAGUGAUGUAUUUCUUCAGCACGUGUAAGGGGUCAUUUGCUUUAGGAUACAUUUUGGUGAAUUUGAGAGAAAUAGAUGCUGAAAUAAAAAUGAAAACAGAUUACAGUUUCAUAUCAAAGGCACUUUUACAUUCUUGGAUAUGAGGGGGAAAUGACACAUUUUACUCCAUGGAUUAUAUAUUAUUUUUAAAUUUUGCUAUUUUGUGUGUUGUGAACUUACUUCAUUUAAACCAUUCAUUUAAAUAAAAUAAAUCUUGGAAAUUAAUGUUAUCUUUGAAUCUAGAAUCAGCUUAUCACUUCACCCCUCAGCCUAGAUCUGGGCUCUAGAAAUUAAAGUGGACACUGUUUGGUUGCUGUUUUUCUUUUCUUUCUUUCUUUUUUCCCCCAAGAAACUAAUCGCAAGGGAUCAAAUCACAGUAUAUCAGUUCCAGUAUUUUGAUUGCCAGUAAAUGUUUUAUAAUUAACAUUUUAAAUAUAAAUUACUUCAUUUGUUAUUUUCCAUUUUGAUUUUUUUUUUAAUGAUCAGGUUUUAAAGGUGGUGUCAAUGUGCAUCUGUAAGCAAACUGGGAAUGCUUUGGAAUACACAAUUCCCUUGUGUAAAAAGUCAGGUUUAGCAGUAAUGCUUUUAAUCUGGACUUGUACAGGAUUCAGAAGCAUCCAUAGAUCUGCUCCAGUAAUUACCAUACCCCAAGUGGCACUGGAAGAGACAUUUGCCUAAAAACUUGAUGUCUUCAUUACGCUGUUUACAUUUUAAUUAGAAACAUGAAAAUUACUGAUUCAUACAGACAACUAUAGUUUAAGUGGUUUCGUUUACCAUCCAAUAAAUCAUAAAAAAAAACCCACAGUUGGCAUAAAUAGUUUACUAGGAAUCAUUCAUGGGAAUAAUGUGUUGGCACUAUAAGCUGCUUAAAAUAUGUUUUUAUUUUACCAGAGGUAGAAUUUGCAUAUAAAUUAAAGAAUGGCAUUUUAAGUUGACAGUCAUUUAUGCAGAAUACCACCCACAUGCAAAUACAUAUAUGGGUGGGUGUGUAUACUUUCUGUGAGUUUAUAGAGUUUUGCAGUAUUGUGGAUGUGCACAUGUACCCAGCCUAGUCGAUCAGUUGUUUGUUAAAAUGCACGGCCUUUUUUAAAAUCCAUUCAGAAAUGUGGGUGUUCUAAAUCUGUCCAUCCACAAACACAUCUUUUAUCUGAUAGGUAAUAUCAACUUUGCACUAAGGAAAAAUGUUUAUUUGUUGUAUGCAUAUGUCUCGAAAAGGAAUUGCCGUUGCAUUUGCUCUUUCCUUCCUCUUUCCUCUCUCUUUCAUUCUCCCCUAAUUUCUGCAUGUACCUGUCAACACCGCUGCCCUAACAUCGCUUCCACUCCAAGUGGCUAGACUGAAGCAGGGUGGCUGUCAGAGUCCAUUCCUGAGUCAGCAGCACGACCAUUGCCUGAAUCUUGCCACAGUCACUCAUCCAGUUUUCCCCUCCCCAGGGGACAAGUGUCCUCCUCAUCAGUGAAGAGGAAUGACCCUUCUGUCUGGCAUGCUCAAAAUCCCGAAUCUCCCCACUUCAGUUCGUGAGUUCAAAUCCCCCCUCCUGGAUACAGGGCUGGGACUCCGGCUAAUGACUGAGAUGCAGAGGGUCAGCGCACUGGUGAGCUGGAGUGCUGAGGCAUUGUGCAAGCUGAGUUGUACAUUUUUCCCUUAAGUGUACAGACUCUUCGUCCCCUCCACUCCCCUCCCAAACCCUUUACUAUAGAUCAAUAUUAUGCAAAAACGAGCCAGGAAGAGCUACAGCCAUUAAAAGCCAUUUUUCUUUUCCUCAUCUUUGUUAGAAAGGUAUUGACCAUGGCUCAAGAAACCUCUUUUGUAUUUUGCUUAUUGUUUUGUAGUUGAACGGAAGCAGACAGUAAAGUUCGUAUUUUAGGCCCAUACUUAUUUUACAUUUUAGGCCCAUGGGCUAUAGGUAAAAAUGAAUUCUAAAAAAUACUACAUAGGAGGAAGAAUCUACACAUGGGUGUUCCACUUGAAAUGUCAGCAGCCAUGGUUUCAAACUUCUGAAUGUGAAUGUGUUACACUGAGGCCCCAGCUAACUGCAUGAUGCGAUUUUCUGGGAAUUCAUGGGAAUAAAAGGAAUUCUCACAAGGUGGCUUCAGUUGAUAGAUUUGUGCUUCAUUUCUGCAUUUUUGGCGUGUCUUUUUUAAAGUUCUAGGGGGUUGCCAAAGUUUUAAGAUGCUAAUCAGUUAUUUUGUGUAGUUCACAAAAUUUUAGAUUUUAAUGAAAAAUCAUGAGGAAUAUUUUCACCGUCAUCAAAGAAAUUGGUCCAGGUAACCCGACUGAGACUUUUAAAAACAGUUCUUAAUGCUUUGCAGUUACCGGGCAGAGUCCCUGAGCACAUCACUUACCGGAGUAGUGAAUUCAUGGGCAUAUGCUCAUUGGUUUGUUUGGCUAUGCCUCUUUUUGUUGUGCGGGCGGGGGCAGGCAGGGCACUUAAUAGGCCUCAGUAUUUCCAAGAGGUGAUUAGAUCCAACAGUCGAUGUCGGUAAGGACAGAAACAUGCCGCUGCCUUGUACACGUGGCAAAAUUCGAAUAGUUCUGUGCUGUCUGGUAAAUCCCGUCUGCUUUAUGCAGUGUGGCCCGAAACAGUUGUGUGGUGAGGGAAUUCUGGCUGCUGGCCAGCCAUUGACUAUGAGAUCCUGGGUACCUGAGAGCUUAUCAGGUCUUUCGCUUUGUAAAAGAAAAAAGUGAUGAAAAUGUUGGUAAACUGCCAUGAAGGUUUAAGGCUGCUGGAACAAGGAGCCGUGUAAUCAGAUUGGAAAAUGGAGCGCGGGAUUCUCUGCAUGGAGAGCAGCCGUCUGUGGACCCCGUGAGCUGCUGUGCGGGUGCCCGAGCUGACCACGUUAUUAGCAAAUCAGCUUGUUUGCGGCAGCAGCAGGGUGGAAAAGACCAGAGCUGGUGAUGGUAUGUAACGGAGGGAGAGCUCUUGCAUGGCACAAUCUCAUCAGCUUGCAAUUAGCUCGGGCUCUACAGUCACCUUCUUCAUUUUCUGCUCCCCCACCCCACCCCCUUUGUGUUAAUACCUUGCACUUUAAACAAUUAAGUAAGGGAAGUAAUCCUUCAAGCAAGUCAAAGCCAUCCUUUAAUUUUAUCACCCUGCUGAAAAAGUAUCAGGUGGUCCAUUGGUCUUCAUCAGAUGCUGGAAAUUCUCCGGCUCACUGUAGCAUAGAGAGGGGCUUUAACCAACUGGUUUUUGAGAUAAUCUUUCACAUGUCUUGGCAAGGGGGGCAGAAAACGGUAUAGCAUUCAAACUAGCAUUGAAGUUAAAAUUAAUGUGAGGGGGCAUUACAAGUACCUUUUGGUUUAUAUACAGUAGUGAAUCUGUUUUAUAUUUUUAAUAACCAGAGGCAGUCUGUGUGUGUGUGUGUGUGUGUGUGUGUGUGUAAGAGAGAGAUCUGUGUGUAUAUAUCUCAUCUGUAAAAUCCUUUCUGCUAUUUAUUUAGGCAUUUCUAUACAGCACCUUUCUGAAGGCUCUGAUGACACAGCCACUUGUAGUGAUAAUUCCACUAUUUCACCUUUAGCGAACUUGAUUCACUAAGGUUUAAAAGAACAAGGAUAUCAUUGCCGAUCAUAUGUGUUACGUGUUAAUCCUUUAAAAUAAAAUUCAGAUCAUGUGGGGGAGAGGUGAGAAGAGCAUAGGUUUGCAAAAUCAGUGUUCUAGUUUUAUAUAUUACUUAAUUCAAGGACAGCGACUUCUUAGAUACUGCUUAAAAAAGACUUUAUCUAAAUAAAAUAUAUCUUAUAAUAAUAUUACUUAAGCUACCUUAUAUCAGUUUAUCUCUUCCAGAAAGCUUCUGCUAAAAUAUUAUCCAUGAUAUGGUAUGGUUUAUUAGCAGUUUGUCAUAAGAUAGAAAAUGGAAAUUAUUUCAUGAAUGUUUCCUUUAGAAAGCAGCAUAGAGAAUGAUAAUGUGAAUUUGCUUUUAAUGGUUAUUAAGGGAUUAAUUGGAAUAUUUUAAGUGCUUUUUCUCAAAAAUAGUAAAUUCCUUUCUGGGGGUCGUUUGUGGUAAUAAAAAUGAACAGUGAUAAUAUUGUUGAUGUUUGAUUACAUUAGUAUCAUAUUUGAAUUCUCUCCAUGUUGUCAACAUAAGAAUUUAUUUGCCCUUAUUAAAUGACUCAAUAAUACUGAUAAACUCUGUCUUAUUUUUCCCUUCAGAAAAAAAAAAUAGCAAUUUAUGACCAAUCGUUUGGAUUCAGGAUUUUUUUUUUUAAUUUAACACAGAAUUCAGAAAGGUUAACUGUUCAUGUACUAAUGCUGUGUGAAAGAGAACAUGACUUCUGUUUUGCUAUACUUAUUUGAUUGUAUGUCUUAUUUUUGUCUUUGGAGGAAUGAAUUGUUUGAUAGAGAAUGAGAACAGGUAAUACAAAGUGCAUUUAAACUUAGGUAAGCUUCUAAGUUUGCCUAAGGGUUUUGCUGGUGUUGCAUCAAUGUGUUCUUUUAUGUGUGUGUUUUGAACUUUUUUUGUCUUUAAUUAAAAAACUGGAUUAAAAGAAACAUACAUCAUCUACACACAUCUUAUGCUGCAGAGAUUCACUUUAUAUUCUUUUAGAGGACAAACUCCAUUAGAUAUGCACUUACUGUACAUUGGAUUGUAAAUCUUACAAUUUAAUGGUAAUUCAGUGAGCAGUUAUUGCUUCAGUGGCCUUUUUUCUUUCUUUUUUGUCCCAUCUCACUUGUGAAAUAGGGUUACCCUUUACAAGUGUCACAUCCAUAGAUUCAUCUUUUGUACUUUGUAGUUGUUCCUGGUGCAUCAUUCUUAAGUUUAAAAAAAAAAAGGCAAAGCAAUGAUGGAGGAACCAUGUGGUGGGUAAGGAGUGUGAGAAGUGAAUGUGUGUGUGUGUGUGUGUGUGUGUACAGCAGGGGGAGGUGUAUAGAAUGAGGGGUAUCAUACUCAAUGCUACUGAAAGAGACAGACAGAGACCCAAAAAGAUACAGGAACUCUAGCAACGGAAUACCCAGGACUGUUAGCAUCAGUCUAAUAGAUUAAUGUCUUUUUCUAAAUAUGCAUUUCCUCUAAUCUCAUUCUCAAUCUAAUGUUUAGUUUUCCUUAACAGAUUGCAUUCUGCACUCACGUUCCUGGAAGUAGAAAUGAUAUCUGAUUGGUACAAGUCUCUUUUCCUUACUUACAUUGUUAAUAUUCUUAUCCUUUUUGGACAUUGAAAUACUUCUUUUUUGUAGAAACAAUAUACACAUUCAUAAAAAAAAUUAUAAAGGGAUUCUCCUUUUGAAGAUAAUGAGUUCUUUUCAGGAACUGCAGGUUACAUGGCGCACAAAUGAGCUCUAAGUGGGGGGAUUUAAAGUCCUGCUACAGCAUUUAAUUUCUUGAGGAGAGGAGUUCAGUUCAAGGUUAGCCUGUUAUUGUGGCACUGGCAACUACUUCUCGCGUCCCUGUUCUUCUGCCAGCAGUUCUGCACAAAAGACAGUCAUUUUUAUUUAAUACGCAGGGAGGUAUUAAUCAUUGCAGUAUUUUCUUGCAAAAAUUUAUCUUAUCAUAUUCAUUGUUUCACUACCCAUGACAAUAAUAGGUGUUUAAUUACUCAAUAAGAGGCACUUAUAGAUUCCAUUUUUCCUGUGAGCUGGACAAAUGGUAUUGAUUUUGUACUUUGAUGCAACAUGAAACUGUAUUAAACACAAUUAGAAUUCCAAGGCUGGUAAAAUGUACAUUUGUUAUGGUAACUGGACUUGCUUUGAGGAUCGGCAAGCAUCUUCUAAAUCAGGCGAUGCCUUUGGUGUAAAAAGGAUGUUUGAUUUUUAUUGCUGCUCUGUGGUUAAAUUGAAUGCUCUUUUUUUUCCCUUCAUGUUGUGUGAAUGUGUGUAUGCACGUGCACAAGUGUGUAGGUUUCAGUUUUAGUGGAGCAAUAAAGAGUUUGUAUGAAAUGAAAAGAUUUGAAGUGGAUGGUUCUUUGUAGUCAGACAAACCAUUGUGUACAGGUGAACACUGCCUCUGUGUAAUCUUGUAAUUGUGUCUCUUGAGCUAAUGCUCUAGGUCUUUAUUUUACCAAUAAAUAAGUUAUUACCUGGGGUGAGGGUGGGAACUGUACGCGAUGAAAUGGCACCUUCAUCUCAUGCUGGAUUCUGGUUUACUUCCUUUUAAGGUGAUGAGGAAGACCUCCAAAUCCCUGUUGUGUCAUAAGUUAAACAUUGGGUUUUGUUAAAAUUGGAGCUAAAUCAAACCUUUCAUUUAGCUGACACUGUUAUGUCACAGUCAGGCAGCGUGAGAUCUUGCGUAGAACUAAGCUCAGUUCUGUUCUGUAGCACUAGUGCAAGUCGGCCUGGGUUUUGCUUUCUCUUGCUUUUCACAAACACGUUUCCACCUGAAGCUGGUACAUCUAAAAAUUCUAAAACCGUAAUUUAAGAGGACUCUCUUUUUCAGUGUGUUAAUUGCCUAUGAUUUUCAGCUCCAUGCAGAUUUAUUUCCUGUGGAGGAAGGUCAUUUAGCCUUACCAAAAUAAAAAGCAAAAUAAACCAAGGACAGUCCAGAGGUUGCUUAAUCUUCAUAUUUUUCACUAAUGUGUAGCUUGUAUACUUGCUAAAUCUUCCUUUGUAUUUCUAAGCACUGUAGACCUCCAAACUGGAAUUUCAGUUUUGGAGAAUUGUAUGAAUGACUGUUAGCCUCAGGAAAUGUAGAGGUUGCUCACUGGCACAAUUGCUUUCUGCAUCAGGGGGAUAUUUUAUUAUCAGAACUCUAAUGAUUACUGCUGGAACAUUAAUUGAUCUCACUGCUUUGGAACAGAAUUUUAAAAAUUUGUGUAGCAGGCACACAACUGUAGGAAAGAUUCUACGAGUACUUCUCAUUUGCUUCAUGCUACAGAGACAGUUGCAGUCAGUGUGUUAGUUUUAAUCGAACAUUCUUUAUUCAGUUAAUAUUUGUAUUGUUAUUUUCCUUAUGGGCUAUCAUAUGACAGCAUAUGUUAGCAUUUUGUAAAGCAGUGAGAAAAUAAAUAUAAAUAACAGUUUACAUCUGGCCUGUGUGUUUCUUUCUUUUUUUUUUUUUUUUCUUGUCCUCCUGGAACUUCCAAGAGUGAGAGAAAAAAUAAAUUGAUAGGCCUGCCCAUUUUAAAACACUAUUCUAUUUUUUGCUCAUAGAUAUGAGAAGAAAAGCCAACUGUGAUUCCAGAAGCAUGUGGUGUGUGUUUAUUUUGCUUUAUUGGGGCUGGGCACAUACUGGAAAGAGGGGUUUUCUGUGCUAGUGGAAUCUGAGGUCUGUAAAGCCCUGUGCAGAUAGAUCCUCGAUCAUGUAGCACAUUGCUCCUUGGGCUCAGCAGCUCAGUGGGGAAUGUAGUUUUUAAUGGGGAAUCAAACUUUGGAGGGGAUAAAAAGAAUAGUAGUAGUUUCCAAACCUUUGACCUUUCUCCUACAUAUUACAACCAAGGUCUGGUUGAUUCUCUGACUUUGGGUCCUGGGUGCCUAGCGAUUGGUUUGUAUCCUUUCCAAAUGUACUGUUGUGUGUUUUAUAGUUCUCCUUAGACAGAUCAUUUAAUUAUUGAGUAAUGUGAGUGUAGUUUCAAUUAUCACAUGUAAUUAGCUAGUUGCAAAGUGGAUUACGUCAAGAAAUGGUAUGAAGGCUGUUUCAUGGCUAAGUAUUACUUUUUGGGUAUAUUUUCGCUGCAAAGAAGAGUGCAUGGUUGCUAAGGAGUAUCUGGAUUUGGAUGGGGGCUGCACAGUUCACUUUCCUGCAAGGCAGAUGUGUUCCGUCACUGUGUUUGCCAAGGUCCAAGUUGGGUGGUGCAAAUGGAAAUUUGGCUGAAGCCAAGUCCUCAGUAUGGCACUUGGGUUGUGCGAAGACUGACACUCAAGUAGGAAGAAAGCCAUCUCCAUUUUCACAGUCCUUUUCCUCAAAUAUGGUUUUCCCUGCUGUUUAUAGCCUGCUCACUCCUCUAUUUAAAGUAGGAGCUGGGUCUGAUGAUCUUCUGAUUAUUUCUAGCUGUAAGGUUUUUGAUUCCAUAAUGUCUCACGGCAAUCAUUCAUACAGAUAGUAAUAUCUGAUCUGCUUUAUUUUCUAGAUGAGAAUAGCAAAAAUGAUACCAAAAGUUGGUUAUAAUAGGUUUUAUCUCUUAUUAGCAAGGAGCUCAAUCUCUCCUAGUGGGGGAAAGCUAGGUUCACAAAACUAAUGCAUUUUCUUCAAGCUUUACUUAUGCUGGCAUUAACAUCAGUCACACCCAUUCUGAAUCAGUUGACCACGUAUUUGACUAGGCAAGCCAGUCAUUUCAACUCAAGGAUCAACUGGAGAGACCUGAAUAGAGGAUAUCUUGGAAUCUUCAGGAGAAAUCCGUUUUGAGAACUUUACAUUUGUUAUCUUGCCUUAUAGAAACUUUCUACAUCCCUGUGAACAAUAAAUAUAGUCUGUAUGCAGCGAUAGCUUUUUAAGUAUUUGUAUCAUAAGUAACUUCUGAAGCCCUUUAACUUUCUUCCUUUGGGACAACGUAGUCUUCUUUGUGGAAGCAUUCAUUGUCUCCAGUGUGUUAAUACAUCUACCUUCUUUUCCUUUUUCUGCCCUUGCAGAACUCAGCCUCCCUCCCUCCAAACCUCGACACUGCCCACCCUUCCCUACUGUCCAGCAGAGUCCUCCUAACCUUUCAGCUGUCUGAAUAAAGAAUCAAUAAGACUAUUAAAGCCAUUUGGAACUUUUUAAAAAAGAGAAAUAAUAUUUUAAUUAUUCCUGACAUGCCAGUUUGAAGCCCAUAUCCUCCUUUAUGACAGUUCAGUUUAGAAACUACAUUGCUUCAUUUCAGUAACUUUAUUACCAUUUGUCUCAGAGAUUGCUGUUUCGCCUUGGCCACAGAUUUCAUCAGUUGCCCGGUUCACCUUUGUCCACACUAUACUUGUGAAAUGACCUCGUCCGUUAGUGCUUGUCAAUAGUAAAUUGCUAUAUUCUGCACCUAGAAACACACCAAAUGACUACAACUCUUUAUUGAAUAACUGAGUUUAUACUUAAUUUUUUAAAAUUAAAACUUAACUGAAAUUGUCUUAAUUACUGCUAAUACCAAUUAAUUAAGGUGCUGGUUAGGGUUGGCUAUUGCAGACGUCAUUAUUUUUGGUAGUAGGAAUGAUGAGCAUGGAGUACUGUUCAUGUUCUUAUGAUGAGAAUGUUUUCUUUGGUGUUGCCCCCCUCUAAUUUUCUAACUCAUCUUCCAAAAUGACAGUGUGAAAUACUCAAGGUUCAAUUAUUCUGAUGACAUCAUAUUCAUUUUCUUUUCAAGAAUUCUCAGUGACUGCAUCAUCUCUUCGCAGAAGCUCUUUUUAAAUGCUAAGAAAUCUGUGCUCUUACAAUAUACAAAAAUCAUAAUCAAUAUCAAAAUGUGGCUUCCUUUCCUAGCAAUAAUUAUUAAAAGAAUCUUAAAUAUAAUUUUGUUUUGAAUAAAUGACUGUAACAAUGUAUUGGGGAAUACUCAAAUUUAUGAUUAUAUCAAGACUAGAUGUAACUCUGUUAAAUACCUAAUUUUCUUAACUAUAAACUUAUAUUUUCACUGUAAAAUUUACAUGAAAAAGAAAAAUAAUGUCCACCUCUUUCCACAAAUAGCUGAGCUCUUUGGUCUCUUUAGCAAAGCUUUUGCCAUAAAUAGGUCACUGUUACGUUGCCUGAAAAUUAAGUUAAAAUAAAAGAACAGUAUUCUUGGAAAUCUCAUUUUUAUGAAAUUUAUAAUGAUUACCAAAUAUUACUGUUACUUUCCAAAUGUUGUUUGACAUGUACUUAGCCGUGGCUGAAUAAUUCCAUGAAGAUUAUUUUAAUCUAUGAAAAUCACUUAAAUUCCAGAUUCUAUCUUGUCUGGGUUUUUCAUCUUUUUUGUUUUGUUUCUAUAUCUUUGAAAUAACCUGGUAUCAGACAGUUUCCCUACUAAAAUAAAAUGCAAAAAUUUUUGAAGAUAAUACUUCUGACAGAUAACCAUGGUAAACCUGGUUGUUUUCAUAAUAUUCUUAAUGUCCUGAAAUAAAAAUGUUUGAAAUUUUAUUCCUAAAUAGAAAUUAAGAGCAAUUGUAUAAUAAUUGCAUAAUUGAAUUGAUAUUAGCCAAUGAAGACAGGAAAGAAGCGUUAAGAUUUCUCCUUACAAAUGCAACUGGUGUGAUGCUACCAUGCUGUGACAUUCAGGAAUAUGAAAGUUUUCAUUAGUUUGUUUAUACCUUUGGGCGUAUUUGCUAUGUAUAUACACUUUUUGUUCGUUUAAAAUGGAAUCAGUGUUCUAGAAAAAAUUUAAUAAAAACAUGUUUGGAAAUGAAA